GAUGAACGCUGGCGGCGUGCCUAAUACAUGCAAGUCGAGCGAACGGACGAGAAGCUUGCUCCUCUGAUGUUAGCGGCGGACGGGUGAGUAACACGUGGAUAACCUACCUAUAAGACUGGGAUAACUUCGGGAAACCGUAGCUAAUACCGGAUAAUAUAUUGAACCGCAUGGUUCAAAAGUGAAAGACGGUUUUGCUGUCACUUAUAGAUGGAUCCGCGCUGCAUUAGCUAGUUGGUAAGGUAACGGCUUACCAAGGCAACGAUGCAUAGCCGACCUGAGAGGGUGAUCGGCCACACUGGAACUGAGACACGGUCCAGACUCCUACGGGAGGCAGCAGUAGGGAAUCUUCCGCAAUGGGCGAAAGCCUGACGGAGCAACGCCGCGUGAGUGAUGAAGGUCUUCGGAUCGUAAAACUCUGUUAUUAGGGAAGAACAAAUGUGUAAGUAACUGUGCACAUCUUGACGGUACCUAAUCAGAAAGCCACGGCUAACUACGUG
rnacentral:rRNA from 1 species